rnacentral:rRNA from 1 species
AUUGAACGCUGGCGGCAUGCCUUACACAUGCAAGUCGAACGGCAGCACGGGUGCUUGCACCUGGUGGCGAGUGGCGAACGGGUGAGUAAUACAUCGGAACAUGUCCUGUAGUGGGGGAUAGCCCGGCGAAAGCCGGAUUAAUACCGCAUACGAUCUACGGAUGACAGCGGGGGACCUUCGGGCCUCGCGCUAUAGGGUUGGCCGAUGGCUGAUUAGCUAGUUGGUGGGGUAAAGGCCUACCAAGGCGACGAUCAGUAGCUGGUCUGAGAGGACGACCAGCCACACUGGGACUGAGACACGGCCCAGACUCCUACGGGAGGCAGCAGUGGGGAAUUUUGGACAGUGGGCGAAAGCCUGAUCCAGCAAUGCCGCGUGUGUGAAGAAGGCCUUCGGGUUGUAAAGCACUUUUGUCCGGAAAGAAAUCCUUGGCCCUAAGACGGUCGGGGGAUGACGGUACCGGAAGAAUAAGCACCGGCUAACUACGU